GAUGAAGAACGUAGCGAAAUGCGAUAAGUAAUGUGAAUUGCAGAAUUCAGUGAAUCAUCGAAUCUUUGAACGCACCUUGCACCCUUUGGCAUUCCGAAGGGUAUGCUCGUUUGAGUGUCAUUGUACUCUCACACUCUCCGAUCCUAUGGAUUCGGGGAGCGGUGGACUUGGGUGUUGCUGCCUUUCCCUGUGGCUCACCUCAAAUGCGUCAGUGCACCUCUUGGUUGGACAUAGUACAGCGUGAUAAGUGUCUUCGCCGGCACCUCGCAAGAGGGUGGCCGAUCGGGAGCUCUGCGCUUUCAAACCGUCUUCGGACAAUUUCUGACAUCUUGACCUCAAAUCGAGUAGGACUACCCGCUGAACUUAAGCAUAUCAAUAAGCGGAGGA
rnacentral:misc_RNA from 1 species